AGCUGCUCAGCUCACGGCAGCCGGAAGGAGGAGGGGAGGAGGCUGGCUAGGACAAGGUGUGGUCCUGGGGGAGGCCACCCCCCAGUGACCUACUUCCUCUAGCCAUGCCUCACCUGCCUGCAGUUUCCACCUGGUGUCCUUCGGGCUUCCUCCGACCAGGUUAGAGCCCCAACAGAUGCCCCACCUCUGAUCCUGGCUGCAUCGGGGAUCAUGCUUUCAAAAUGUGAGCUUUUGGGGAACAUUCCAGAGGUGAACUGUAACAACGUGCAAUGAAUGACUGUGGGGGGUGGGGGGAGAUCCAAUGGCUCAGCCUGCUAAGAGGAGGCUGGAGGACACUUCUCUCGUUGUCACUUAGGAGUCACAGUUGGGACAAGGAGGCACUAGGACUCCUGCUCUGGAGGAUGUGGACUCUGCCGGGUGGCGGGCUUCCCUCCAGGGCCCUCAAAAGCGGCUGAACCAGUUCUGCCUCCUCAACUUUGUGCCAGUUACAGCAGGUCACCAAACUCAGCUACUGGAGCACAGAUGUCCCUUCCUGGGCUCAGGCGCCUCACCUGUGAAGUGGGGGUAACAGGGCCAGCCUCCGGGGUGGCUGUGAGGGUUAAAUGGGUCACUCCACGUAUAAGAGAACAGUGACCAGGACCUAGAAGCAAUGCUCUGCUGUUACUGUGGUUCUUACCCACUCGCAGCCCUUGAGCAAGAGGCUGGGGAGUGGAGGGCAGAGGGCCGUGGUGUCCCUGCCCCUCCUCUGCCGGCUCUGGUGGGAGGACAAGGGAUUCCUCUCAUUCCCUGCAACACCUGCGUCCUCGUCCUCGGUGGCAGGAAGGCAGGCUGCCCUUUCCCAGGCCCUGAGCCGAGAAAAGCAGAGAGGACAGAAGCAGGUGUCCUGGGGGCAGCAGGGGAGCAAGGACCUGAGAGGCCACCGGGAGGUCAGGGUCCAUUUGCCUGUCUCACACCCAGGGCUGGCCACUGGCUGAGGACCCUGGGGUGGUGGAAGGGUGGACCUGCAAGGCUUCUUUUCCCCACGAGGGCACUGAAUGGACAGGGGACCGGGCCAGGAGCCUGCCAGCCCUCUGUCCACAGAGGCCCAGCUCUGGAGGCCAUAGAGGUAAUUACUCGGUGGCAGGGAUCAGUGACACGCAGAUCCCCUUUUCUCUCUCCUGUCCUCUCACCCCAGCUCCUGGCAGAGAGAGCCGGUGGGCCCCUCCCCUCCAGAGCCCCGGGUGUGGACCCCAGCCAGCUGGGGGAGGGGGGAGCGCAUGACCCGGUCAGGUGGAGUUUAAAUCUGCACUUGAGGGGACUGGGCUUAUUGUACGUGAAAGUCAC
rnacentral:lncRNA from 1 species